UAGGGAAUCUUCCGCAAUGGACGCAAGUCUGACGGAGCAACGCCGCGUGAGUGAAGAAGGAUUUCGGUUCGUAAAACUCUGUUGUUAGAGAAGAACAGCGCAUAGAGUAACUGUUAUGCGUGUGACGGUAUCUAACCAGAAAGCCACGGCUAACUACGUGCCAGCAGCCGCGGUAAUACGUAGGUGGCAAGCGUUGUCCGGAUUUAUUGGGCGUAAAGCGAGCGCAGGCGGUCAAUUAAGUCUGAUGUGAAAGCCCCCGGCUCAACCGGGGAGGGUCAUUGGAAACUGGUUGACUUGAGUGCAGAAGAGGAGGGUGGAAUUCCAUGUGUAGCGGUGAAUUGCGUAGAUAUAUGGAGGAACACCAGUGGAGAAGGCGACUCUCUGGUCUGUAACUGACGCUGAGGCUCGAAAGCGUGGGUAGCAAACAGG
rnacentral:rRNA from 1 species